GAUCAAGGUCACAGAUGACAAGCUUGCCAGAAUCACAAGAAAACGUGACAGCCCUGCAACCCGUGAAAGAAGGGAGGGGGCCUUCCACAUUGCCGAUGAGCUUCAACAUUGUAGGCGAUUUCCAAACUAUGGCUAAACAAAUUUAAAAAUUUCGUCGAGCCCGGUGCAGUUGAAAAUGACGAUUUAUUUUGCUUGCUUGCCUCUUGCGUUUACAAGGACCAUAAACAAAUGUCCGUACAAGUUUCAGCUUCUUCAUGGGAUUCCAUUUUGCAAAAAAUGCCAGUCGGAGGGGAAAACCUACGACCUUAUGGCAACUAUAUGCCACAAAGAAGAGAGUCCUAAUAGCAGACAUUACAUUUGCUACGCGUUUAAGGACAAAGAAAAAAUCUGGUUUGAAUAUGAUGACAUACGUGUGAUCAAGGUCACAGAUGACAAGCUUGCCAGAAUCACAAGAAAAUGUGACAGCCCUGCAACCCGUGAAAGAAGGGAGGGGGCCUUCCACAUUGCCGAUGAGCUUCAACAUUGUAUGCGAUUUCCAAACUGUGGCUAAACAAAUUUAAAAAUUUCGUCGAGCCCGGUGCAGUUGAAAACGACGAUUUAUUUUGCUCGCUAGCCUCCUGCGUUUACAAGGACCAUAAACAAAUGUCCGUACAAGUUUCAGCUUCUUCAUGGGAUUUCAUUUUGCAAAAAAUGCCAGUCGGAGGGGAAAACCUACGACCUUAUGGCAACUAUAUGCCACAAAGAAGAGAGUCCUAAUAGCGGACAUUACAUUUGCUACGCGUUUAAGGACAAAGAAAAAAUCUGGUUUGAAUAUGAUGACAAACGUGUGAUCAAGGUCACAGAUGACAAGCUUGCCAGAAUCACAAGAAAACGUGACAGCCCUGCAACCCGUGAAAGAAGGGAGGGGGCCUUCCACAUUGCCGAUGAGCUUCAACAUUGUAGGCGAUUUCCAAACUAUGGCUAAACAAAUUUAAAAAUUUCGUCAAGCCCGGUGCA
rnacentral:misc_RNA from 1 species